rnacentral:lncRNA from 10 species
AAAGGGUGAAAGACAAUUAUGGGAAGCCAGUGGGGCAAUUUGAGCUAAAAUACACCUCCCGCGAUGACAGACGCAGCCUUGAGAGAGCAGCUGAGGUGCGACAUGAGCUCCCUGUAACCAGCAUGUUCAAGCAAGAAGCCGGUUGUGUGGACGGCAAAGAGGAAAUGCUGUGGAAUGUCAGUUUGGACGAACUCUGAUGUUGACUGGUGAUGCUGCCAAGACCAUGUCUCCCUUCUUGGGCACGUAGAUUUAUUGAGAAAAACCAUUCACUGUCACCUACUGCUUCUUACCAGGCUCUGUGAUGGGGGAGAAGGAGCAGUUGGAGAAAAUGUCAGAAUCUGCAGCUUAGACAACUGAGUAGAAGCAAGGGUUGGAGCUUGUUGGAUUCAGCAUCUGUGGAACACAGUCUGUAGCCCAUGGGAAGACGUGGACAUUCUUUCCCAAGUUCUUGAAGGACGGAAAGGACCAUGAACUUGUGAGGUGACCGGAGGAUUGGUUUUGGGUGUCAGUUUUGUGUCUGUCCCAGUGCUGCCACUUUUGCUUUGAAAUGGACGGGGAGAGCUGAAGGCCAGCAUGGGUUUCUGCACCUGUUUCCUACAGCUCUGCUGGGGACUGUGGCUCAGGUGGCAGCUGUGGACACGGAUCCUGUCAGCCUUUGGGUGGCCAGAGCUCCAAGGCCAGGUGUCUCUUAGCUGCAAGCAGCCUUCACUGUUAAUCAACAGG